rnacentral:tRNA from 1 species
ACCUGUGUGGCUCAGUUGGUUAAGCAUCUGACUUCGGCUCAGGUCAUGAACUAGUGGUUCGUGAGUUUGAGCCCCACCUCAGGCU